GUGAACGCUGGCGGUAGGCCUAACACAUGCAAGUCGAACGGCAGCACAGUAAGAGCUUGCUCUUACGGGUGGCGAGUGGCGGACGGGUGAGGAAUACAUCGGAAUCUACUUUUUCGUGGGGGAUAACGUAGGGAAACUUACGCUAAUACCGCAUACGACCUACGGGUGAAAGCAGGGGAUCUUCGGACCUUGCGCGAUUGAAUGAGCCGAUGUCGGAUUAGCUAGUUGGCGGGGUAAAGGCCCACCAAGGCGACGAUCCGUAGCUGGUCUGAGAGGAUGAUCAGCCACACUGGAACUGAGACACGGUCCAGACUCCUACGGGAGGCAGCAGUGGGGAAUAUUGGACAGUGGGCGCAAGCCUGAUCCAGCCAUACCGCGUGGGUGAAGAAGGCCUUCGGGUUGUAAAGCCCUUUUGUUGGGAAAGAAAAGCAGCAGGUUAAUACCCCGCUGUUCUGACGGUACCCAAAGAAUAAGCACCGGCUAACUUCGUG
rnacentral:rRNA from 1 species